rnacentral:rRNA from 1 species
UCAAGAAACUUCCACAAUGGGCGAAAGCCUGAUGGAGCGACGUCGCGUGAUGGACGAAGUGCUUCGGCACGUAAACAUCUUUUAUGUGGGAUGAAAUUAUUGACAGUACCACAUGAAUAAGGGGCUCCUAACUCUGUGCCAGCAGGAGCGGUAAUACAGAGGCCCCAAGCGUUAUCCGGAAUCACUGGGCGUAAAGGGUGUCGAGGCGGUCGUAUUAGUCGUUCGUAAAAUCUACGAGCUUAACUUGUAGGCGGCGAACGAAACGGUACGACUUGAGGUUUGGAGAGGUGCGUGGAACUCACGGUGUAGGGGUGAAAUCCGUUGAUAUCGUGGGGAACACCAAAGGCGAAGGCAGCGCACUGGCCAAAAUCUGACGCUCACACACGAAAGCUAGGGUAGCGAAGAGGAUUAGAUACCCACGUAGUCCCUGAGCGGGCUGGCAAGGCGCAU